UGGGGAAUAUUGCACAAUGGGCGCAAGCCUGAUGCAGCGACGCCGCGUGAGGGAUGACGGCCUUCGGGUUGUAAACCUCUUUCAGCAGGGAAGAAGCGCAAGUGACGGUACCUGCAGAAGAAGCGCCGGCUAACUACGUGCCAGCAGCCGAGGUAAUACGUAGGGCGCAAGCGUUGUCCGGAAUUAUUGGGCGUAAAGAGCUCGUAGGCGGUUUGUCGCGUCUGCUGUGAAAACGCGAGGCUCAACCUCGCGCCUGCAGUGGGUACGGGCAGACUAGAGUGCGGUAGGGGAGACUGGAAUUCCUGGUGUAGCGGUGGAAUGCGCAGAUAUCAGGAGGAACACCGGUGGCGAAGGCGGGUCUCUGGGUCGUAACUGACGCUGAGGAGCGAAAGCACGGGGAGC
rnacentral:rRNA from 1 species